UACGUAGGGUGCAAGCGUUGUCCGGAAUUAUUGGGCGUAAAGAGCUCGUAGGCGGUUUUUCGGGUCGAAUUUGAAAACCCGGGGCUCAACUUCGGGCCUGCAUUCGAUACGGGCAGACUAGAGUUCGGUAGGGGAGACUGGAAUUCCUGGUGUAGCGGUGAAAUGCGCAGAUAUCAGGAGGAACACCGAUGGCGAAGGCAGGUCUCUGGGCAUUAACUGACGCUGAGGAGCGAAAGCAUGGGGAGCGAACAGG
rnacentral:rRNA from 1 species